UAAGCAUAUGAGGAAGAAGGUUAAGUUGG
rnacentral:piRNA from 1 species